UAACAAGGCUCUGGCAUGCUGCCAUUAACUUGGGUUUAUGCCUCUUUCAUGUUUUCACAGCCACAGGCCAGAUGGUUUCAGCAUUAUAUUGCUUUCUCUGAUAAGGAAUCUGACCACAUUGCUCCAAAUUAUUUUUAAGGUACUUUUCAUUCCACAUGCUUUUUUUCUUGUUAUAUAUCACAGCUCAUUCAGCAUUAGUCAUUAAAAUCAAACCUAGAAACUUUUGCAUAUUGUAGGCAGCAUGGAGAGCUGCUUUCACUCAUCCUUGGCUGAUGGGAUAACAAAUUUUCACGCUGCUUCGAUUAACUUUAUGGCUGCUGUCAUGCCCACUCCUUAACAUGUACCUGGAUCUGAGAAGUCUGGAAAUGAGUUCUUAGUGAAUGAGCUGGAGUGAAACUGGAGAUGCCUGCAAACAGAACUCUUCCAGUUGCCAACCACAGGUCUUUCUCAGAAAAAAUGAGUUGGAGCUACCAUAACAAUGUUUUACGUAGGCAAAAAACCUCA